CCUACGGGAGGCAGCAGUGGGGAAUAUUGGGCAAUGGGCGCAAGCCUGACCCAGCAAUGCCGCGUGCAGGAAGAAGGCCCUCGGGUUGUAAACUUCUUUUAUCAGGGACGAAGGAUGUGACGGUACCUGAUGAAUAAGCUCAGGCUAACUACGUGCCAGCAGCCGCGGUAAUAAGUAGGGCGCAAGCGUUAUCCGGAUUUACUGGGAGUAAAGGGCGCGUAGGUGGGAUGGCAAGUUAGCUGUGAAAUCCAGGGGAUCAACCCCUGAACUGCAUUUGAGACUGUCGUUCUUGAGUACGGGAGAGGUUGACGGAAUGCCAAGUGAAGCGGUGAAAUGCGUAGAUAUUAGGAGGAACACCAGUGGCGAAGGCAGUCAACUGGACCGCAACUGACGCUGAGGCGCGAAAGCGUGGGGAGCAAACAGGAUUAGAUACCCGUGUAGUC
rnacentral:rRNA from 1 species